UACAGAGGUCUCAAGCGUUGUUCGGAUUCAUUGGGCGUAAAGGGUGCGUAGGUGGCGCUGUAAGUCGGGUGUGAAAUUUCGGAGCUUAACUCCGAAACUGCAUUCGAUACUGCGGUGCUUGAGGACUGGAGAGGAGACUGGAAUUCAUGGUGUAGCAGUGAAAUGCGUAGAGAUCAUGAGGAAGACCAGUGGCGAAAGGCGGGUCUCUGGACAGUUCCUGACACUGAGUGAGCGAAAGCCAGGGGAGCAAACGGG
rnacentral:rRNA from 1 species